rnacentral:tRNA from 1 species
GCCCGGAUAGCUCAGUUGGUAGAGCAGCGGACUGAAAAUCCGCGUGUCGGCGGUUCAAAUCCGUCUCCGGGCACCA